UACGGAGGAUGCGAGCGUUAUCCGGAUUUAUUGGGUUUAAAGGGUGCGUAGGCGGGCUUUUAAGUCAGCGGUAAAAAUUCGGGGCUCAACCCCGUCCGGCCGUUGAAACUGGGGGCCUUGAGUGGGCGAGAAGAAGGCGGAAUGCGUGGUGUAGCGGUGAAAUGCAUAGAUAUCACGCAGAGCCCCGAUUGCGAAGGCAGCCUUCCGGCGCCCUACUGACGCUGAGGCACGAAAGUGCGGGGAUCGAACAGG
rnacentral:rRNA from 1 species